rnacentral:lncRNA from 1 species
CGAGGAAUUGCGCGGCGGCGUUAUGAAUGGGCAUAAAUUGAACGGGCGUAAACCGAGGGCUACCUGUAAUAGUAAUGCUAAACAGUCAACGGCAACAAGCCCAUCUUUCUGAUGUUUCACUCCUUCAAAGCCAAGUGACUGUUCUUGGACUGCUCGUCCGGUUUUACAAACUGAAAAUUAAUGGUAAUUUGUUAAUUGACAUCAUAAAAGGAGGGGUAGCUUUGUUAGUAAGACCUGGUCUAUGCUUACAACUCGCAUUAAUCGAAUAUUUAUUUGCAUUAACUGAAAAACGGUAUCAAUUUUAUAAGUCGCACUAACCGAAAUUGCAUUAUUCAAACUCGCAAAAAUAAUUUUUUUUGAGAGCUGAAUUUCGAGACCUUCUUGAUUUAUGA